rnacentral:rRNA from 1 species
CCAAGGAGUCUAGCAUGUGCGCGAGUCAUUGGGACUCUAACGAAACCUAAAGGCGCAAUGAAAGUGAAGGUUCGCCACGCGCGAACCGAGGGAGGAUGGACGGUCGAUCGUGGCCGUCCCGCACUCCCUGGGCGUCUCGUUCUCAUCGCGAGAAGAGGCGCACCAAGAGCGUACACGCUGGGACCCGAAAGAUGGUGAACUAUGCCUGGUCAGGACGAAGUCAGGGGAAACCCUGAUGGAGGUCCGUAGCGAUUCUGACGUGCAAAUCGAUCGUCGGAACUGGGUAUAGGGGCGAAAGACUAAUCGAACCAUCUAGUAGCUGGUUCCCUCCGAAGUUUCCCUCAGGAUAGCUGGCGCUCGCUUCUCGCGAGUCUCAUUCGGUAAAGCGAAUGAUUAGAGGCAUUGGGGUCGAAACGGCCUCAACCUAUUCUCAAACUUUAAAUGGGUGAGAUCUCCGGCUUGCUUGAACUGUGAAGCCGCGAGAUAUCGGAUCAGAGUGCCAAGUGGGCCACUUUUGGUAAGCAGAACUGGCGCUGUGGGAUGAACCAAACGCCGAGUUAAAGCGCCUAAAUCGACGCUUAUGGGAUACCAUGAAAGGCGUUGGUAACUUAAGACAGCAGGACGGUGGCCAUGGAAGUCGGAAUCCGCCAAGGAGUGUGUAACAACUCACCUGCCGAAGUUACUAGCCCUGAAAAUGGAUGGCGCUGAAGCGUCGUGCUUAUACUCUGCCGUCAGCGGCAUGUGAGACGGUCCUUAAGAGGUCGUCAUGAAGCCCUGACGAGUAGGAGGGUCGCGGCGGUGAGCGCAGAAGGACCAGGCGCGAGCCAGUCUGGAGCCGCCGUCGGUGCAGAUCUUGGUGGUAGUAGCAAAUACUCCAGCGAGGCCCUGGAGGACUGACGUGGAGAAGGGUUUCGUGUGAACAGCCGUUGCACACGAGUCAGUCGAUCCUAAGCCAUAGGCGAAAGCCGAUGUCGAUGCGGUGUAUCUUUCAGUGUCUAUAUGCUGCUGCCGCUGCUGCUGCUAUGUAGCUAGCUGCUGCUGCUGUUAAGGCGGAGAGACUCACACCCGUCGGGCGAAAGGGAAUCCGGUUCCUAUUCCGGAACCCGGCAGCGGAACCGUUAUUAAGUCGUGCCCUCAUUCAGAGAGUUCGUCGGGGCAACCCAAAAGGACCUGGACACGCCGUCGGGAGAUCCGGGAAGAGUUUUCUUUUCUGCAUAAGCGCUCGAGUUCCAUGGAAUCCUCUAGCAGGGAGAUAUGGUUUGGAGCGCGAAGAGCACCGCAGUUGCGGCGGUGUCCGGAUCUUCCCCUCGGACCUUGAAAAUCCAGGAGAGGGCCACGUGGAGGCGUCGCGCCGGUUCGUACCCAUAUCCGCAGCAG